GAUCCUGGCUCGGGAUGAACGCUAGCUACAGGCUUAACACAUGCAAGUCGAGGGGCAGCAUGGUCUUAGCUUGCUAAGGUCGAUGGCGACCGGCGCACGGGUGAGUAACGCGUAUCCAACCUGCCUUACACUCUUGGACAGCCUUCUGAAAGGGAGAUUAAUACAAGAUGUUAUCAUGAGUAAGCAUUUUCGCAUGAUUAAAGGUUUACCGGUGUAAGAUGGGGAUGCGUUCCAUUAG
rnacentral:rRNA from 1 species